UCUUUGGUACGCGCAUGCCUUUCCAUCUCCAUUUUGCCCUUCACCCUUCACCCUUCACCUUGCCAUGACCUCCAUACAUCUCAUUCUCGCCCUUCACCCUGCCCUGACCUCCACAAGCUCGUCGUGGACAUUUCCCAACCUGUGCUCUGUCCCGUCUCCGGUGAAGGGUAGGGUUUUUGUGAGAACGGAAACACCUAACCCUAAUAUUUUUGCUGCUCCAAGAGUGGUGGGAUUCGGAAAGAAGCGUGGACCAAACUCUAUGUAGUGGUGGGAUUCUAUUUUGCUCAUCUCUUACACCAGCAACACAUUCCCCACAAUGUCUCCAUCAAUGUCAUUGAAACAUGAUCCUAAUCCUUUUGGGGAGCUGCUACUAAUGCAGAAACUAGAGGAAGUUGGAAGCUCUGUCAAGGUAGGAAGUAAACAUGAGAUAUAGUAUUGUUAUUUGCCAGGAGAAACAGGAUAUUUAAUUGCCCUGAGAUAUAGUAUUGUUAUUUAAAUGCAAUAAAAAGAGAGGAAAGGGGAAAAGGAAAAUUAUUUAGAUAUGUUUCUGGAGUUGGUUAUAUUCUUUUGGCUAAAUACCAGGGUAUGUUGUUCACUGUAGAGAAUUCAAUCUUUAUUUGAGGAGCAACAAUCUCAAAUAAUAACAGAGUCCAUAGAUUGAGGUUUGUGAAUUUGAUGUAAAAAUAAAAUCCCUAUAGAUGGUUUUUUCUGCAGCUUGUCAAGUUGCUUUUUUUUUUUUAUCAAGCAUUGCUAUUUGUUUUUUCUCAUAAAUACUUCAUUGGAUUAUCCAGUGCAGUUGUGCUUUAGCUUAUGUAUUAUAUGUGACUAUUUGGAGCGAUAACAUCUUGUGGUGUAUCCAAAUCUGUUUUAUUUUAAUACAAGUUUCUUUGGCUUUUUUUAAGAAAAGUAUCUCUUUCAUGUUUAACUCAUAAUAAUUAUCUAAUUGACAAGGUUUUACACAGUAUAUAAGCUGAAAGAUAGCUUCCACUCCGUUUUGGUCAUUGGUUAAUUGGGGUUUGUGCUAUUCCAUCCUUUUGAUCAACGAUCAUUUAAUCAGAGGGACUCAAGAAUCCAAUUAAUUUUGAGCCGAGGAAUACCCAAAAAAAGAGUUGAAAAAAUUACAUUAAAUCAUAGUAACAGAUAUUGUUAUCAUAUAUGGAUAUAACUUUCAAAUAAAAUAUACUGAUAUUUAAAUUAUGACUUGACUUAUUAUUAUAAUGUAGUAUUUUUUUAAUUCUGAGACGAGAAGCGAGUUAGAAAACAAUCA